GUGUCAGCCGCCGCGGUAAUACGGAGGGUGCAAGCGUUGUUCGGAAUUACUGGGCGUAAAGCGCGCGUAGGCGGUUUGUUAAGUCAGAUGUGAAAGCCCAGGGCUUAACCUUGGACGUGCAUUUGAAACUGGCAGACUUGAGUAUUGGAGGGGGUGGUGGAAUUCCCGGUGUAGAGGUGAAAUUCGUAGAUAUCGGGAGGAAUACCGGUGGCGAAGGCGACCACCUGGCCAAAUACUGACGCUGAGGUGCGAAAGCGUGGGGAGCAAACAGGAUUAGAAACCCUAGUAGUCC
rnacentral:rRNA from 1 species